rnacentral:rRNA from 1 species
GAUGAACGCUGGCGGUGUGCCUAAUACAUGCAAGUCGAGCGAACAGAUAAGGAGCUUGCUCUUUUGACGUUAGCGGCGGACGGGUGAGUAACACGUGGGUAACCUACCUAUAAGACUGGAAUAACUCCGUGAAACCGGGGCUAAUACCGCCUAACAUUUAGAACCGCAUGGUUCUAAAGAUAAUGAUGGUUUUGCUAUUUCUUAUAGAUGGUCUCGCGCCGUAUUAGCUAGUUGGUAAGGUAACGGCUUACCAAGGCGACGAUACGUAGCCGACCUGAGAGGGUGAUCGGCCACACUGGAACUGAGACACGGUCCAGACUCCUACGGGAGGCAGCAGUAGGGAAUCUUCCGCAAUGGGCGAAAGCCUGACGGAGCAACGCCGCGUGAGUGAUGAAGGUCUUCGGAUCGUAAAACUCUGUUAUUAGGGAAGAACAAAUGUGUAAGUAACUGUGCACGUCUUGACGGUACCUAAUCAGAAGGCCACGGCUAACUACGUG